ACUCCUGCCCCUGAUUUUCAUUUUUAUCAGGCUAUGAUAUUUUUUUAUGCAUUUUUGCGAUGGGAAUGAUUCUAGUGUGAGUAAAUGUCAAUGUUCUCGUUUUAAUCGGUUAUAUUACAUCAAUGGAAAUUGUCUUUGUAUCAAAUCUAACCACCAAUUGCAUCUGUCCUUUUUGGAGGGAAAAAUGAAAUAGUAAAACCAUAGUUAGCAGCCUCUAUUGGUUUAUUGGAACAAUUCCAUAUCCAGGCAAUCUAUGCCAGCCAAUGCAUCAUCUGUAGGAGAUUUGGAGGUGAACGUUGCUGUAUGCCAGGUUAUCAACUCUUCGCUUGAUGUGUUUUAUUGGAAGCAUUUAAAUUUUCGAACCAUGAAGCCCACCAUGGAGACUCUUCUCUAUCAAAGAAAUCAGAAGAGAGCGAAACAAGGUUUCUGUGGCUGGUUUAACAAUAAAGUUACAGAUUGUCCAGUCUCUAGCCUAGGUCAAUAGAGAGCUUUAUUAUGUUUGCUCUACUGCUGAAAAAGCCUUUUGUCAAGAACUAGUCUUUAAGUCAAUUCAGCUUAAAACUGGCCUUUAUCAACAGAAUGUGAAUAUUACUCUACACAAUUGAAUUAGGGCAGUUUGCUGUGGUAUGAAAUUUAGCCAAAGAGGACAUUUCAGAGGAAUUACUUGUAAAUAAGGAUUUGGCUAAUCACGAAAUGGAUAGCCUAUUGCUUUUACAUAUACAAAUAAUCAGCAAUUGUUAAGGCCA